rnacentral:rRNA from 1 species
CCCUUAGAUGUUCUGGGCCGCACGCGCGCUACACUGAUGCAUUCAACGAGUCCAACCUUGACCGAGAGGUCCGGGUAAUCUUUGAAACUGCAUCGUGAUGGGGCUAGAUUAUUGCAAUUAUUAAUCUUCAACGAGGAAUGCCUAGUAAGCGUGAUUCAUCAAAUCGCGUUGAUUACGUCCCUGCCCUUUGUACACACCGCCCGUCGCACCUACCGAUUGAAUGGUCCGGUGAAAUCUCGGGACGGCGGCUUGGUCGCUUGCGUCCGACUGCUGAAACUUGAUUAAACCAUAUCAUUUAGAGGAAGGUGAAGUCGUAACA